AUUCGACCGACUCAAGAUUUUAUCAGACCCGCUUGAAGUUUCGGCCGUGUUUUUGUGGUCUGGAUUUGGUUCCACUCCUCCGUGUUCCGUUCUUCAGGUGCUUCCUAAGUACAAACUUUCCCCUUCUGACUCAGUCGCCUUUAAGCUCACGCAUCAGCAACGUCGUGAAGUGGAGGGAAAAUCACCCCAAACAGAACGAGGAAACCUACAGUGGAGCUUUCAACAACAGAACAGGAUAGACUUCCUGUGAGACAAUGGCCCACAGUGAGUGUCUGUGAGUGAGCGCAUGAAAAAUCCACACGGAAAUGCUGUAAUAAUUGACACGUGGGCCAAGAGGUAAUCGUUAUGGAAUGUUCUCUGAAUGUUGAUGAGUGUUGCAGCAUAGUUCCGAUGCAGAUACAUACAAUUUUAAUAUGAGAAAUGACCAAAAUAGUCUUUCAAAUGACAAGUAGAGAGUGUUGUUGCCAUGGAGAUGCAACAAUAAAAUUCACAAUUAUCCAGAAACAGCUUUACUUUACAUUAGGUACAUGAAUAGUAUCAAUAUAUUAGGAGUUUCAUGAAGGUUUUUCUCUCAAAGACAAUCAAAUAUUCGUGGGACUUUUGUCAAAAAGAAAAUAAUAAAUGGUCAGUAAUAUUUUGGAGUGAAUGAGUGACCAAUUUAUGAAACUCCUGAUAUAUUUCCAAAUUAAAAAUACAUUUAAUGAGGGAGGUUAUUGAAAUAUACAUGUGAGAUAAAACUACUUCCUUCAGCUUAUUUUGUUAUCACAAUAAAUCUUGAUCAAUAAAAUAUUAGGUCACCAAUUUUUGGUCUCCUGAUCCAGCUCUCUGACGCCUCAAAUGGGCAUUUUUGCCCUUUUCCAUGGAUUAUAGCUCAACGCUACUCUGGCACCAUCUAGCGGUAAAAAUACCACACAGUCACAAACACAACACUGCUGAAUUUAACAGUAUAUAUAUAUAAAAUUCAGUAAGUUUGAUCAUAUUAUUUUAAUAAAUUAUAAACCUGACGUAUUAUUGAUAUAUAAAGAUAUAUAAUUGAUAUAUAACGACUGUUUGUGUUUAACACCGUUGUGUCAUUGCUCUAACCAAAGAGGAAAUAAUCGCACACGAAACUACGGGAAUUAAUACAGUAUGACUGAGCUCUGAUUACAGUAUGAUUGGAGGCCUCUUGACAGAACUUUGUGGGUCGUUUUUUUUCCUCAACUGCCAUUUACGCCUCCGAACACACGAUGGCGCCCCACAACAAUCAGUUCCACUCUGAAAAGUUGAGCAGGGGUUAUUAAAUCUGGUUUUAUUGCCCCGAAAGUAGUUUCUAUGAUUUGACUCCGAUCAGUCUGACGCGUAAAACUCCAGGGAAAGUUCGGGGACGUCGGUGCCAUCAGUGUUCCUUGCGCACUUUGCUGCUGGCAACUCACCGCCUCCGGUGCAGAGUGAAGCCAGGAGCUACUGUCCCUUCCCUUUAUCUGAACCCUCACCCCUCCCUCCUCCUCCCCCUCGUCCUCCUCCUCCUCCUCAUUGAAACUCCUCACUGAAGUCAGCAGCUUUCCAGGCGCGCUCGCCACCCAGUUUCCAGUCCGCUGCGCACUUUACAGCUCGCAGCCCUGCGGCUCCAGCUCGGCUUUACUGACUUUUCGGUUGGAAGUUGGACCUAAAAACUUUUUUUGUGUUAGAGACAAUCAAGCGCAGGUACGAUGAGGACGCAGAGGAUCGGCUGAUUAGAGGUACGUUAGGCUCCAGUUUCACCCCGCAAUGAUUUAAAACAUGUGUGUCUUGAGCUUGUUGUUGCAGAAUCUUCCAAAUUUCUCCGACCGAACAAAGAGUUCGGAACGUUGUUGACACACUGGGUAGAAACAGAG
ensembl:lncRNA